UGGGGAAUAUUGCACAAUGGGCGGAAGCCUGAUGCAGCAACGCCGCGUGAGUGAUGAAGGCCUUCGGGUUGUAAAGCUCUGUCUUUUGGGACGAUAAUGACGGUACCAAAGGAGGAAGCCACGGCUAACUACGUGCCAGCAGCCGCGGUAAUACGUAGGUGGCAAGCGUUGUCCGGAUUUACUGGGCGUAAAGGAUGCGUAGGCGGAUUUUUAAGUGAGAUGUGAAAACCCUAAGCUUAACUUGGGGACUGCAUUUCAUACUGGAAAAUCUAGAGUGCGGGAGAGGAGAAUGGAAUUCCUAGUGUAGCGGUGAAAUGCGUAGAGAUUAGGAAGAACACCAGUGGCGAAGGCGAUUCUCUGGACCGUAACUGACGCUGAGGCAUGAAAGCGUGGGUAGCAAACAGGAUUAGAUACCCUGGUAGUCCACGCCGUAAACGAUGAGUACUAGGUGUAGGAGGUAUCGACCCCUUCUGUGCCGCAGUUAACACAAUAAGUACUCCGCCUGGGAAGUACGAUCGCAAGAUUAAAACUCAAAGGAAUUGAC
rnacentral:rRNA from 1 species